CGCACAGGGCCAUUGCGUUACAACGGCGAGUGAAGCGGCAAAAGCUCAAAUUUGAAAUCUGGCACCUUCGGUGUCCGAGUUGUAAUUUGAAGAAGGUAACUUUGGAGUUGGCUCUUGUCUAUGUUCCUUGGAACAGGACGUCACAGAGGGUGAGAAUCCCGUGCGAUGAGAUGCCCAAUUCUAUGUAAAGUGCUUUCGAAGAGUCGAGUUGUUUGGGAAUGCAGCUCUAAGUGGGUGGUAAAUUCCAUCUAAAGCUAAAUAUUGGCGAGAGACCGAUAGCGAACAAGUACAGUGAUGGAAAGAUGAAAAGAACUUUGAAAAGAGAGUGAAAAAGUACGUGAAAUUGUUGAAAGGGAAGGGCUUGAGAUCAGACUUGGUAUUUUGCGAUCCUUUCCUUCUUGGUUGGGUUCCUCGCAGCUUACUGGGCCAGCAUCGGUUUGGAUGGUAGGAUAAUGACUAAGGAAUGUGGCUCUACUUCGGUGGAGUGUUAUAGCCUUGGUUGAUACUGCCUGUCUAGACCGAGGACUGCGUCUUUUGACUAGGAUGUUGGCAUAAUGAUCUUAAGCCACCCGUCUUGAAACACGGACCAA
rnacentral:rRNA from 1 species